GACGUAGGGUGCAAGCGUUGUCCGGAAUCAUUGGGCGUAAAGCGCGCGUAGGUGGCUUCAUAAGUCCGUUGUGAAAGUCAAAGGCUCAACCUUUGAAAGCCGAUGGAUACUGUGGAGCUAGAGUACGGAAGAGGCGAGUGGAAUUCCUGGUGUAGCGGUGGAAUGCGCAGAUAUCAGGAGGAACACCAAUAGCGAAGGCAGCUCGCUGGGACGUUACUGACACUAAGGCGCGAAAGCGUGGGGAGCGAACAGG
rnacentral:rRNA from 1 species